rnacentral:rRNA from 1 species
ACGAACGCUGGCGGCGUGCUUAACACAUGCAAGUCGAGCGGUAAGGCCUUUCGGGGUACACGAGCGGCGAACGGGUGAGUAACACGUGGGUGAUCUGCCCUGCACUCUGGGAUAAGCUUGGGAAACUGGGUCUAAUACCGGAUAUGACCGCAUGCCGCAUGGUGUGUGGUGGAAAGAUUUAUCGCCGAUGGAUGAACCCGCGUCCGAUUAGCUUGUUGGUGAGGUAAUGGCUCACCAAGGCUUCGAUCGGUAGCUGGUCUGAGAGGAUGACCAGCCACACUGGGACUGAGACACGGCCCAGACUCCUACGGGAGGCAGCAGUGGGGAAUAUUGGACAAUGGGCGCAAGCCUGAUCCAGCAAUGCCGCGUGAAUGAUGAAGGCCUUAGGGUUGUAAAGUUCUUUCGCUCGUGACGAUGAUGACGGUAACGAGAGAAGAAGCCCCGGCUAACUUCGU